rnacentral:lncRNA from 1 species
UUCACAGUUGUUCUCUGCUGCCUUGGGGUCUCGCCGGGUCUGCAGCAGAAUCUAGUGGUGGCUACUUACUACUGCAGCAGCAGUGAGAGCCUCUUCUGGGUUCCAGACAUUUAAGUCUGUUCCAGACUAAGAAGUAAACGUAGGAGACUCCAUUGCUACAAUCAGCAGAUUCUCACCUGCAAUUCUGCUCUGCCUCACGCUCACCACAGGUCUUCAAGCAACAGGACUGAAUGAGUGUACAUCCCUUCUUGUCAAAGCUGUCAUCUCGGGUACUCGCCACAGCAAUGGGAAGAUGACUCAGGGGAAACCUGAACAGGGCCCAUCUAAGCUGUAUGAACAACGGUGUCACACUGUGAGAGACUAACUGAAUGGACUUGGAACAAACAAACGCAGCAGGAAACAGGACUCAAAUGUCAGUGCAAGCUAAGAAGCAUGCUUCUUUUCUUCCACUAAGUGUACCAUGUCCUCUCCAUGACAAGGCAACCACAGUUCAGCCACAAAACCAUCAGUAAUAUAAGACACUAAACAGGGCAGAAAUGAAUCGCC